UCCCCUAAUAGACAUUCCCAUUUGUGUGGGGGGGGGGGUGGGGGGGUAGGUAGGUCACACACACAAAUGUGUUUAACAGGAUAGAGGUUUAAAAGUGACAUUUCCUGGUCUUAGAGAACACUUUUUCAAAUUUUAAAGGUAAUUCCCAUAAUUCCCCCAAUAGGCUGUUCCAGUUUACACUUAGACAGUGAAUGACAGUGCCCUCUCUCCUGCAUCCUUGCCUAAAAUAUGAUGUUUUUAUCUUAUUUUAUGUUGCCUGGGUGUUGAGCAAAAAUAAGAUGUGAUUGUUGUUUCAUUAUUUAUUUGAUGAAACUGUUUACACUUCCAUGUGCUGUACUGACUGAUUUUGUGCCUCUGUCACUUCACGGCCUCCUUGUCCAUUCAGUUGCUCGGAUUGUCUGUAUCUAAGAUGUUCUUAGUCUACUUGAAAUAUUAACCCCUUGUUUAGUUUAUAUGUUGCAGAUUUUUCCCUGAUCUAUUUUAUGUCUUUUGUUGUUGGGGUCUUUCACCAUAAAGCAUGCAUUAAUUUUCUAUGUGUCAUAUUGGUUUAAUAUUUUCUUUAUGCUUUCUGUAAUUUGGGCCAUACAUAAGAAAAUCCUUUUAUUUCAAUAUUAUGAAUCAUUUUCCUAUUGUACUCCUAUUAUUUUGAUGCUUUGUUCUGUGAUUUUUUAACUUUAUCUGAAGUUUAUUUUUGUGUAUAUAGAAAUAUAAUCUUACUCAUUUUCUAAAUAAAAAGCCAAUCACAUUUUAAUUAUAAAUGUCAUAUCAAAUGCUAAAUGACUGAUUUAUUGAAUUCUCUCUGUGGUUCUCUUGAUCUGAUGUUUUAUUUCUACAUUGUUCCACCCUGUUUAUUUAGCUUUAAAGCAUGUGCUGGUACCUGGUAGAGAAAGAAUCUGUCAUUAUUACUAUUUUCUAGAAUAUUCAUGUCUAUUAGCCAUCAUUCUUACUAUUGAACUUUACAAUGAAUCAAUUACCUAAUUAUGAAAAAAUCAUUCUUUUGCUAUUGUGCUUAAAAUUUCAUGGAAUGCAUGAUUAAUUUGAGAACUCAUGUAUUUAUAAUAUUCAGCAUUUUCAGCCAAGAACACAACAUCCUCUCAAUUCACUCACUUUUGUGUCUACUAGUAGAGAAAUGUUAUAUUUUACUCAUGUAAAUCUUGUACAUUUUAUGUUGUUUACUUAGAGGAUAUCUUUAACAUAAUUUUACUGAAGUUGUAAAUUUCCCACCAAUUUCAUAUCCUAAAUGGUUGCUGCUUAGGUAACAAAAAACUUGUUAACUAUUAUACUGAGAAAUUUUAAUUCUUGAAUGAGUUCUAAUGCUUCUUCAACUUAUUCUCUUGACUUUGUUUGUUUGUGUUGACUUUAGUAAACUCACUUGCAACAAACAUUUCAUCUCACUUCAUUGGCUGGGAUCUGUGGAAUUUGUUGACUAUUGAAAGUACGUGUAAUCAAGCUCGCCUUAUCUCAGAAUUAAAUGUUUGCCUUUAUGCUUGGAGUUUGUUACAAAUUUUGGAACAUACUCUUUAAUGAGUUGAGGAAAUUUCCUUUAAUAACAACAAAACAUGGCAUGUUUGUUGUCUUUAUUCAGAAACAGGUGUUGGAUUUAUAUUGCUAUUUUAUUAAAUUCUAUGUCAAGGGUCUUUUGUGCCUUUUUAAGUACAAUAGCCAAUUAUUGUGCUGCUAAGGUAAAAAAAGUUGCUGUUUUCAAUGCAAUAUGUAUUUUUCUAAUGUUAAUAAAUUGCCUUAGAGAUAAAAAUCAGGUUCCUUCCAUCAUCAUUUCUGCCUUAUGGUGAGACUUGAGUGCUUUUUCUUUUUCCUUUGGAGUAUUUUGAUGUUGUGUUAUGUUGUGUUGUGUUGCAUUAUCUUGUGUUGUGUUAGACUGUCUCGGAUACAGAGGGUGAUUCAGUAGUGGUAACACAUUCUGCAGUGACUCCAGGUCUCUGGCUUGGAAAGAAAUUAUUGAAAUGAGGACAGUAUAGAAGAUCAAUUUUUCAGAGAAAUGAAUUUGAGGUUCCAGUGGGAUGUUCAAGCAGAGAUAGGUUCAAAAGUCAAGAUAAGGAGAAGGGUCAGGAUUGUAAAUAGGGAUCUAGAAUCUCUGGAUAACAGUAGAAGUGCACAGAGAGAGUAGGGUACAGAGACAGUGGAGAAAGUACAGGGAAAGAAAACUCAAGUGUUGAUCUCAGAGUCAGCAGCCAUGCAUGGGCCAAUGAGAAAGAGAAACUAGGGGAGCAUGAGAGUAGGUAGCCUCAAUCACCAAAUAGAGUAGUAUGACCAAAAAUGGCAGAGACAUCUUAGUAGCAAGGAAGAACUGCAGAUUUGACUGGAAUAAGGAUCUUAACUUGAGAAACUUCAGGGAAAUAUGGAAUGAGAGAUAGAGAAAUCCUACCAUACACCAGCAUGCACAACACCUAACUUCACCUCUGCUGACUCAGUCCUCUUUUACCUGGUAUAGAUGGGUGCUUAAUAGCCACUGUUGGGUGAAUAGAUGGAUAAAUGAAUGGGUAUGUAGGAAAAAAGACAAUCAAACAGGCAGAUGAAUGCUGGAUAGGUAGAAAAGAAAUAAGUAAACAGACAGAUGAAUGGGUGUAUAGAUGGGUAGAUAAGCAAAUAGAUGAACAGAUGACUAUACAAGUGGAUGGAUGGAUAGAUGGAUGGAUGGAUGGAUGGAUGAAUAGAUUGGUAGAUAAAUUAAUGGAAAGAGUGAUCUGAGAUACCAGAGAAGUUUUAUGAAUGAAUGUACCUGAGUUACAUUUCCACAAAUGGAAAUGAAAGUGGAGGAGUUUCCAUGUAGUAGUACCUUGGGUCAGAGAUUUACCUAGCACCUAUUAGGGACCUCUCCUUUCUGAUGGGAGCUUAGGGUUGUUGUCAGCACUAACAGCUUCAUAGGAGAGGGGAUGCAUAUGGCAAUGGGUAGUGCCUGCCUGGAAAAGGAAACAGGUCUCUGGGGGGCAGGCCAUCCCCUCCCCCCAAACACUGCUGAGGACACAGCCCCAGCCGUCAUGCCUGGUAGAUUCCCACUCGGGCCUGGCCCCACCCCCAGAUGCUAGCCCCACAGGUUUUGGUCCGAGCCUCUGUCACUGUGGUUAUGUGUUCAGCCAUGGAACCUAGCUCACCAUCCUAGUGGCACAGGUCAGCCCAAGUCUGCCCCCACAGUCAGCCUGUUCCCGCCCUCCUCUGAGGAGCUCCAGGACAACAAAGCCACAGUGGCAUGUCUCCUGAAUUCCUUCUACCACAGCUCCAUGAAGGUCAACUAGAAGGCAGAUAGCACCACCAUCACACAAGGCAAGCAGAACACACAGCCUUCAAAACAGAGCGACAACAUAUACAUGGCCAGCAGCUAUCUGACCCUGACUCCCGACCAGUGAAGCUCGCACCGGAGACGCAGCUGCCAGGUCGAACACGAGGCAGACAACGUGGAGAAGAGUGUGGCCCCUUCAGAGUGUUCCUAGGACCCCUACCUCAGCCUCUCUUCUGGGGGCUGAUGUAGAAGGACUCUGAGUAACAGUCCCCUUUGCUGCCCCUCCCACUCCUGACAUUCUCUUUGAACCAUUAUUGCUCAAUAAACUGUCCCUUGUGGAUCAGA